ACAGAUGGACCCGCGGCGCAUUAGCUAGUUGGUGAGGUAACGGCUCACCAAGGCGACGAUGCGUAGCCGACCUGAGAGGGUGAUCGGCCACACUGGGACUGAGACACGGCCCAGACUCCUACGGGAGGCAGCAGUAGGGAAUCUUCCGCAAUGGACGAAAGUCUGACGGAGCAACGCCGCGUGAGUGAUGAAGGUUUUCGGAUCGUAAAGCUCUGUUGUUAGGGAAGAACAAGUGCCGUUCAAAUAGGGCGGCACCUUGACGGUACCUAACCAGAAAGCCACGGCUAACUACGUGCCAGCAGCCGCGGUAAUACGUAGGUGGCAAGCGUUGUCCGGAAUUAUUGGGCGUAAAGGGCUCGCAGGCGGUUUCUUAAGUCUGAUGUGAAAGCCCCCGGCUCAACCGGGGAGGGUCAUUGGAAACUGGGGAACUUGAGUGCAGAAGAGGAGAGUGGAAUUCCACGUGUAGCGGUGAAAUGCGUAGAGAUGUGGAGGAACACCAGUGGCGAAGGCGACUCUCUGGUCUGUAACUGACGCUGAGGAGCGAAAGCGUGGGGAGCGAACAGGAUUAGAUACCCUGGUAGUCCACGCCGUAAACGAUGAGUGCUAAGUGUUAGGGGGUUUCCGCCCCUUAGUGCUGCAGCUAACGCAUUAAGCACUCCGCCUGGGGAGUACGGUCGCAAGACUGAAACUCAAAGGAAUUGACGGGGGCCCGCACAAGCGGUGGAGCAUGUGGUUUAAUUCGAAGCAACGCGAAGAACCUUACCAGGUCUUGACAUCCUCUGACAAUCCUAGAGAUAGGACGUCCCCUUCGGGGGCAGAGUGACAGGUGGUGCAUGGUUGUCGUCAGCUCGUGUCGUGAGAUGUUGGGUUAAGUCCCGCAACGAGCGCAACCCUUGAUCUUAGUUGCCAGCAUUCAGUUGGGCACUCUAAGGUGACUGCCGGUGACAAACCGGAGGAAGGUGGGGAUGACGUCAAAUCAUCAUGCCCCUUAUGACCUGGGCUACACACGUGCUACAAUGGGCAGAACAAAGGGCAGCGAAACCGCGAGGUUAAGCCAAUCCCACAAAUCUGUUCUCAGUUCG
rnacentral:rRNA from 1 species